rnacentral:rRNA from 1 species
UAGGGAAUCUUCCACAAUGGACGAAAGUCCGAUGGAGCAACGCCGCGUGAGUGAAGAAGGGUUUCGGCUCGUAAAACUCUGUUGUUAAAGAAGAACAUAUCUGAGAGUAACUGUUCAGGUAUUGACGGUAUUUAACCAGAAAGCCACGGCUAACUACGUGCAG